CGGAAUGUAGCUCAGCCUGGUUGAGAGCACCUGCUUUGGGAGCAGGGGGUCGCACGUUCGAAUCGUGUCAUUCCGA
rnacentral:tRNA from 1 species